UACGUAGGGUGCGAGCGUUAAUCGGAAUUACUGGGCGUAAAGUGUGCGCAGGCGGCAAAGCAAGUCGAGUGUGAAAGCCCCGGGCUCAACCUGGGAAUGGCAGUGGAAACUAGGGGACUGGAAUCUGGCAGAGGGGGGUGGAAUGCCGCGUGUAGCAGUGAAAUGCGUAGAGAUGCGGCGGAACACCGAUGGCGAAGGCAGCCCCCUGGGCUGAGAUUGACGCUCAGGCACGAAAGCGUGGGGAGCAAACAGG
rnacentral:rRNA from 1 species